rnacentral:rRNA from 1 species
GUUGAACGCUGGCGGCGUGCCUAAUACAUGCAAGUCGAGCGAAGCGGGGAUGGGUGAGUAACACGUGGAUAACCUCCUAUAAGACUGGGAUAACUUCGGGAAACCGGAGCUAAAACGGAUACUUAUAGAUGGUUCUGCGCUGCAUUAGCUAGUUGGUAAGGUAACGGCUGACCAAGGCCACGAUGCAUAGCCGACCUGAGAGGGUGAUCAGCCACACUGGAACUGAGACACGGUCCAGACUCCUACGGGAGGCAGCAGUAGGGAAUCUUGCGCAAUGGGCGAAAGCCUGACGAAGCAACGCGGCGUGAGUGAAGAAGGUCUUCGGGUCGUAAAGCUCUGUUAGUAGGGAGGCGGUACCUGGUCAGGAAGCCACGGCUAACUACGUGCCAGCAGCCGCGGUAAUUC